CGCAAGCAAGAUGGCAGCUUCCGGAAAGGAGAUGUCUUGGCUUCACUUUUGCAUAGCGGUUUUAACCAGCUGGAAGAAGCUCUGUGAAGCUGGAUACUGAGAGGAUGUGAACAUAUCAGACAGCAGAAGAAACCAGACAAGGGUGCCUGGGUCUGCACUGGGUUCCUUUGGGGUCGCCUCCUGCAUCUGUGGAUGAGGAGUCUCCUGAUAGAGAGAGAACUCCAUCGACCUGUCGGGGAGGCAACACAAAUCAAUACAGCACGCCACAAACAAGAAGCAGGCAGUGGAGGGUAAAACCACAGUGAGAAUAAGUCUUGAAAUUAAAGUUUUAUUUCACCCUAAUGCAGUUUAGGGAGGAAUGUCCUUGAAAAUUCAUAAAAUUCAUGUGAAACAUGCAUGCAUUUCCACAAUUUAUUUCUUAAGUUGUCAAGUUUUACUGUGUAAAUAUGACUCAUUUUCUUUUUUGGGCAAUUCAUGGAAGCCUAUGAGCUCUAUGUGAGAGUGUUUUUGAUCAGGAAACAAUCACAAUUGAGAGCCUGGAUGUUGGCACGAGGCAGCCAGCAGCAGCAGGAGAUAAUGCUGACAACGCAAAAAACCAAACACAAACAGAAAUAAAACAACCUAGAUUGUAAAAGUCACAGGAUGAUAGAUGGAUUGGUUUGGGAUAGAGUGAGAGUAAUGGAACCAUCCUUGGCUGCCGGCUUCCAGUGAGACAGAAGUUAAAGCAAAUCUCAGUGGUGCAGACUGACUGAGUGGCUGUAUGUACAAACAUGCAUGUUGAUAUUCAUAGUUUGCAAAAUUCUUACGGUGGUACGAACCAUAGUCAGCACCACAAUUAUGUAAUUUACAAGAUAAU